UACAGAGGGGGCAAGCGUUAUUCGGAAUUAUUGGGUCGUAAAGGGCGCGUAGGCGGCUUUUCAAGUGACGGGUGAAAGCCCUCGGCUUAAACCGAGGAACCGCCUGUCCAUACUGGGAGGCUUGAGACCGGGAGAGGUGGAGUGGAAUUCCCAGUGUAGCGGUGAAAAUGCGUUAGAUAUCGGGAGGAACACCUGUGGCGAAGGCGGCCCCCUGGUUGGAUACUGACGCUGACUGACGCGAAAG
rnacentral:rRNA from 1 species